rnacentral:tRNA from 2 species
GCAUCCGUAGCUCAGCUGGAUAGAGUACUCGGCUACGAACCGAGCGGUCGGAGGUUCGAAUCCUCCCGGAUGCACUA